UAAUCAUUUAUUUUCGUGAUUUGUGAUUCGACUGACGUGUUUUUUGAAAGUGUACCUAUUAAUCAUAUAGUUUAUUUUAAUAAUUAAACAGUUUUAUUGCCUACAAAAGUUAAAGAAAAUUAUCAUAAUCUACAUAUUCAACAUCUUAGAGUUAAUACGAGCCACAGAAGAAAAUGGGUUAUUGUUAUAUUCGAUUCUUGUAAACAAUAUAGUGUUUUGCCUGUGAAUUGGUUAGUCGAACCUGAAGCAAAUAACAUAGAAAGAUUUUGUUAUUGGCCAAAUAGUUGAGUUACAAGCAAUGAGUUGAGGGAAGCUGAAGAACCAAAUUUUGAUUGGAACAUUUUUAAAAUAAAUAUUCUUGGUAGCGAUAACUCGUUUUUUGAUUGUUUUAAUAAAGCAUGGCAUACCCAAAUGGAUAUUGAAUCAUCCACAAAAGAUGAGCUUCAAAAUCAGAAAAAAGUAAAAACUCAACCGGCUAGUACAUUUUCAGAUGAAAGUG